ensembl:lncRNA SNAP25-AS1 SNAP25 antisense RNA 1
AGUUGACGUGGAGCAGGCGGCAUAAAUCAAGUCCGCGGGGCAUGGAGGCUGCUGUCGCUGCAGCAGCUCAGCUUGCCCGGGGCGGGAACUCCCCCUUUCUCCUUUCGCCUCCCCAGCACCCACACCCUGUCUCCCCCUUAAUUCUUCCCUGGAUAAUAGCACCCUAACGACAACAGUCAUAAUAAUAGGGUUAGAACGACAGGGGAGGAAAACUCAACAGCCUAAAUAUCUCUGAAAACUGCAUCGCAAAAUGGAAGAAAGAGGGGGUCCCACUACUGUUUCAAAAGAGUAAGUUAUUAUUCGGAGCCAUGGAAGUCAAAUGCUGAGGAUGGUGGCAUCAUAGGAUGAAUGGAGCUGGGUUCUUGAAACACUGCCUGGAGGAAAGACAGCAAAAAUGCCUCAUGAAUCCAACUGGACUGUUAGCUCAUCUUUACCCUUCAAAUCUCAACUCAAAUGUCCUUCCUCUGAGAGGCCUUCUCUGCCUGCCCUCCCAUGUAAAGAAACCAGCUCCAUUUCUGGGAUGCUCACCCUUGGAGACCAGCAACAAUGUGUGCAGAAACCCAGGCCAUGUGGAGAGGCCCCACAUACGUGUCCAACUGAGGUCCCAGCUGACAGCUGGCAUUGACAUAAUGUUCACUCUGGGGGAAGCCAGCUGCCACGCUGUAAGGACACUCGGGCAGUCCUAUGAAGAGGCCCGUGUGGUGAGAAAGAGAGGCCUCCAGCCAACAGCCAUGUGAGUGGGCCAUUGAGGAAGCAGCCUCAGUGCCUGCAGCCCUGACUGGCAUCCUGAACUACCACCUUAAAUGAGACCCUGAGCCAGAGUCACUACUUCCAAAUUCUUGACCCACAGAAAUUGUGAAAUAAUAUUUGUUGUUUUAAGCCGCCAAGUUUUGGGAGUAAUUUGUUAUAUAGCAAAAGAUAAUUAAUACAUUCACUUCCUAAGAUUAUGGUGAAGAAUUAAGGAUACAGCAUGAAAAGAACUUUGCUAUUAUUUUUAUUAUCUGAUCCAAUUUAUGUUGAAGGGCCUUCAGUACUUUCUUCUUUUACUCUAUCUUGACAUUUGUCUGAAACAUUUUUGUUUGUUUGUUUGUUUGUUUGUUUGUUUUUUAGAGAUGGGGUCUUGCUAUGUUUCCCAGUUGGAGUGCAGUGAUUAUUCACAGACAUGAUCCCACUACUGAUCAGCAUGGGAGUUUUCACCUGCUCCAUUUCCCACCUGGGAGGUCAUCAUAUUGAUGGCGAGCUAAGUGUGGACACCUGAUCAGCAUAGCACAGUACAGCCCAGAACCCCUGGGCUCCAGUGAUCCUCUUACUUCAGCCUCUUGAGUAGCUGGAACUACAGGCCUGCACCACUGCACCCGGCUAGUUUGUUUUUGUUAGAGUUUUGUCUCUAGGAUUUUCCUCAGCUGAGUAUGUGAAGGCUAACUUCUCCUUGUGAAUCUGCAAAUAUCCUUAUUUUACCCUUUAUUUUACCAUGUAUCAUUUACAGGUAAAUGAUAUCUUAGCUGUGUAUUGAAUUUCUGUUUUUUGUUUUUUCUUCAGUACUCUAUAAAUAUUACUCCAGUAUCUUCUAGCUUCUCCCAUUUUCUCCUAGUGAAUGGUUAUUCUGCUCUUAUCUAGCAGGUGAUAAAUCUGUCAACAGAUAGUUUUUCCUUUUUGUUUUAUGUGUAAGUUGUUAUUUCUUCCUUAAAGUUCAUAAUCUUUUCCCAUUUAUUCUCUAAAUUUUAGACUAUAACCAGGAUGUGUUUAGGUUGAUAUCUUUGCUUAUCUAUUCUGCCUGGAAAUCAGGAACCUCUUCCAAUAUUCAGACUUGUGUUUUCAGCUCAGAAUAAUUAUUUUAUCAUUUGUUUGAUUAUUCCUUUAGUUGCACUGGAUCUUAGUUAAAAUGCCCAUUCUGAUUCAAAGUAUCUGGAAGGCAAGUAUUUGUCAACUAAGGGAAAGGUGACCAUGCAUCAUUGGUUUUGCUGAGACUACCUGGUUUACACCUUCAGGCUUUAUACUUAGAAAAUAUUGCGAUCAUCUUCUGGUCAUGAAGUUACAAACUUCAGGACAAAGGCUAACCAGCUAAGACUAGCAGAGCAAAUUCCAAGAACUUGGGGCUUUAAUUAACUUGAAUUGAUUUGGACUUGCCCUACCUUUAACUUCACACUGAGAUAAAAAUUCCCCACAUUUUCAAGCCAUUUUUGAGAUGAGUCUCUUAUGGUUGAAAGCAUCCUAAUUUAUACAACAUCCUUUUGGUACCUAACUAAAUAUUCACCAAUAUUUGGCACAUUUGUUAAAUCUUUUGGUGUGUGCCUCUUCUAUGUAAUGUAAAUAUGGUCUGAAUAUCCAUUCAGAAAUUAUAGUUGAUUUGCAAAAAUAACUACUAUAUCACCUAUAUUAAUUGAUAGUUAUUCCUUCCCAACCUUCUUUCACUCUUCCAUAUAUAUACAGAGUAAAUCUACAUCAUUAUGUUGAUUAAACAAAAUAGCAGUGAAAUCAGGAUGUUACUGCUCAUUGUGCAUUUAUUUCAAUUAUGGAAAAAGCCAACACUUUACUCCCUUAUUUAACACUUCUGUAGAAAAGCAGUUGAAAUAACCUAGUGUCAUUCUAAAAUGAUUUGUAUAC